rnacentral:rRNA from 1 species
UACGAAGGGGGCUAGCGUUGUUCGGAUUUACUGGGCGUAAAGCGCACGUAGGCGGACGUGUCAGUCAGGGGUGAAAUCCCGGAGCUCAACUUCGGAACUGCCUUUGAUACAGCACGUCUUGAGUCCGGAAGAGGUGGGUGGAAUUCCUAGUGUAGAGGUGAAAUUCGUAGAUAUUAGGAAGAACACCGGUGGCGAAGGCGGCCCACUGGUCCGGUACUGACGCUGAGGUGCGAAAGCGUGGGGAGCAAACAGG